rnacentral:rRNA from 1 species
UACGGAGGGGGCAAGCGUUGUUCGGAGUCACUGGGCGUAAAGGGCGCGUAGGCGGUGCAUCAAGUCAGGCGUGAAAGCCCCGGGCUCAACCUGGGAAUGCCAUUCGAGACUGCAUAGCUAGGGUGCGGAAGAGGGAAGCGGAAUUUCCGGUGUAGCGGUGAAAUGCGUAGAUAUCGGAAGGAACACCAGUGGCGAAAGCGGCUUCCUGGUCCAGCACCGACGUUCAGGCACGAAAGCGUGGGGAGCAAACAGG